CGAGCCGGCCGGGCGGCCGCGGCCUCCUUGAACUGCCUGCGCUAUGUGGGUGGGCGAGGGUCGAGGAAAGUCCGGACUCCACAGAGCACGGUGGUUGCUAACGGCAACCCGGGGCAACCCGAGGGAAAGUGCAACAGAGAGUAGACCGCCGCGUGCCUUCGGGUGCGAGGUAAGGGUGAAAGGGUGCGGUAAGAGCGCACCGGCGAGGCAGGUGACUGCCUCGGCCAGGUAAACCCCACUGGGAGCAAGGCAUCACGGCCCGCACACUGCGGGCCCGCUCAGACGCUUGAGGGCUGCUCGCCCGAGUCUGAAGGUAGCUGCUUGAGGCGCCCAGCAAUGGUGCGUCCAGAUGGAUGGUCGCCGCCACCUGCCCCAUUCGUCGAGGCAGGUGGAGACAGAAUCCGGCUUACAGGCCGGCUCGUUCG
rnacentral:RNase_P_RNA from 1 species